rnacentral:rRNA from 1 species
GGUUAAAAUAAUUAAGGGCACACAAAGGAUGCCUAGGUAGUAAGAGCCGAUGAAGGACGUGGUAAGCUGCGAUAAGCCUAGAUAAGUUGCAAUCGAACGUAAGAGUCUAGGAUUUCCGAAUGGAGCAAUCUAUUAAGAUGGAGUCUUAAUACGAAAGAGGGAACCGCGUGAACUGAAACAUCUAAGUAACGCGAGGAAAAGAAAGUAAAAACGAUACCCAAAGUAGCGGCGAGCGAAAUGGGUCAAGCCUAAACCUUAAAUAUGUCAAGGAUACAGCCGUUGUAUUUAAGGGGUUGUGGGACAGAGUGAUGAAGAACUGUAAGAUAUUCAAUAUAGUGUAUUGAUGAAUUAGAAUUGUCUGGAAAGGUGAACCGCAGAAGGUGAAAGUCCUGUAUAAGUAAAUCCUUACACAUAUAACUUUGCUCCCAAGUAACAUGGAACACGAGGAAUUCUGUGUGAAUCUGUGAGGACCAUAUCUCAUAAGGCUAAAUACUCUUACUAACCGAUAGCGCAUAGUACCGUGAGGGAAAGGUGAAAAGAACCCCUGGAGGGGAGUGAAAUAGAACCUGAAAUUGUGUGCUUACAAGCGGUCAGAGCCCAUUUGGGUGAUGGCGUGCCUUUUGGAGAAUGAUCCUGCGAGUUACGUUAAACGGCGAGGUUAAGUAUAACGGAGCCGAAGGGAAACCAAGUCUUAAUAGGGCGAUUUAGUCGUUUGGCGUAGACGCGAAACCUGGUGAUCUAAACCUGUCCAGGAUGAAGCUGUGGUAAGACACAGUGGAGGUCCUAACCCACCGCCGUUGAAAAGUUGGGGGAUGAGGUAGGUUUAGGGGUGAAAAGCCAAUCGAACCAGGAGAUAGCUCGUUCUCUCCGAAAUGCAUCUAGGUGCAGCCUUAGGUGUUCAAUUAUGGGGGUAGAGCACUGAAUGAUCUAGGGGGCAUAUUGCUUACUGAAAUCAAUCAAACUCCGAAUACCAUAAUUUAUAGCUCAGGAGUGAGACUAUGGGAGUUAACUUCCAUUGUCAAAAGGGAAACAACCCAGACCACCAGCUAAGGUCCCUAAUUAUAACUAAGUGGGAAAGGAGGUGGAGAUUCACAAACAACUAGGAGGUUGGCUUAGAAGCAGCCAUACCUUUAAAGAGUGCGUAAUAGCUCACUAGUCGAGAGUCUCUGCGCCGACAAUGUAACGGGGCUAAGUUAUAAACCGAAGCUGUGGAAUCCUNNNNNNNNNNNNNNNNNNNNNNNNNNNNNNNNNNNNNNNNNNNNNNNNACCGACUUUGGAGGUAUCAGAAGUGAGAAUGCAGGAAUAAGUAGCGAGAAAGGGGGCGAGAAUCCCCCUCGCCGGAAGACCAAGGUUUUCAGGGUAAAGCUUGUCUUCCCUGAGUAAGCCGGGACCUAAGCCCAGGCUAUAAUGCGUAGGCGAAUGGAAAACAGAUUAAUAUUUCUGUGCCAGUCAUUUAUUGUGAUGGAGGGACGCAGAAGGGUAUGUGCGCGGACGAUCGGAAGUGUCCGUAGAAGUAUGUAGGAUGGCUUAGUAGGUAAAUCCAUUAAGUUAUAUCUGAGGUAUGAUAUACAGUCGUAAGAUGAAUGCGCAAAUCCCACGCUGCCAAGAAAAGCUUCUAACGUUAAUAUAUGACUGCCCGUACUGUAAACCGACACAGGUGGUCAGGAUGAGAAAUCUAAGGCGGACAGGCUAACUCUCGUUAAGGAACUCUGCAAAAUAACCUCGUAACUUCGGGAGAAGAGGAGCCCUUGAGUGUUAGUAUCCAUGCGAUACAAAGCGCUCGAGGGUCGCAGUGAAGAGGCUCAAGCAACUGUUUAACAAAAACACAGGUCUAUGCUAAGCUGGAAGGCGAUGUAUAUGGGCUGACACCUGCCCAGUGCUGGAAGGUUAAGAGGAGGAGUGAGAGCUCCGAAUUGAAGCCCCAGUGAACGGCGGCCGUAACUAUAACGGUCCUAAGGUAGCGAAAUUCCUUGUCGGGUAAGUUCCGACCUGCACGAAUGGUGUAAUGAUUUGAGCGCUGUCUUGACGGGAGGCCUGGUGAAAUUGUAUUACCGGUGAAGAUACCGGUUACCUACAGUAGGACGGAAAGACCCCAUGGAGCUUUACUGUAGCUUGGUAUUGGGUUUUGGCAUUGCAUGUAUAGGAUAGUUGGGAGACUAUGAUGAUAUGGCGCUAGCUGUAUCGGAGUCAUCGGUGGAAUACCAACCAUUCAAUGCUGAAAUUCUAAUCUGUGGUUUGUAGCCACGGAGACAGUGCUAGGUGGGCAGUUUGACUGGGGCGGUCGCCUCCGAAAGAGUAACGGAGGCGUUCAAAGGUUCUCUCAGGUUGGAUGGAAAUCAACCAUAGAGUGCAAUGGCAUAAGAGAGCUUGACUGCAAGACUGACGGGUCGAGCAGAUGCGAAAGCAGGACAUAGUGAUCCGGCGAUUCCGAAUGGAAGGGUCGUCGCUCAACGGAUAAAAGCUACCCUGGGGAUAACAGGCUGAUCCUACCCGAGAGUCCAUAUCGACGGUAGGGUUUGGCACCUCGAUGUCGGCUCAUCGCAUCCUGGGGCUGGAGAAGGUCCCAAGGGUUGGGCUGUUCGGCCAUUAAAGCGGUACGUGAGCUGGGUUCAGAACGUCGUGAGACAGUUCGGUCCCUAUCCACUGUAGGCGUUAGAAUAUUGAGAAGACCUGUCCUUAGUACGAGAGGACCGGGAUGGACAAACCUCUGAUGUACCAGUUGUCACGCCAGUGGCACAGCUGGGUAGUCACGUUUGGAAUAGAUAACCGCUGAAAGCAUCUAAGCGGGAAACUAACUUCAAGAUAAGUAUUCUUUAAGAUACCUUCGAGCCUAGGAGGUUGAUAGGUUGGGGGUGUAAGUGCAGCAAUGCAUUUAGCUGACCAAUACUAAUUAUCGAAGUUUUAAUCUAAAUUCUACUAUAUAGUUUC